CCUACGGGGUGCACCAGUGAGGAAUAUUAGACAAUGGGUGGAAGCCUGAUCCAGCCAUCCCGCGUGCAGGAAGACGGCCCUAUGGGUUGUAAACUGCUUUUAUCUGGGGAUAAACCUACUUACGUGUAAGUAGCUGAAGGUACCAGAAGAAUAAGCACCGGCUAACUCCGUGCCAGCAGCCGCGGUAAUACGGAGGGUGCAAGCGUUAUCCGGAUUUAUUGGGUCUAAAGGGUCCGUAGGCGGACUAGUAAGUCAGUGGUGAAAUCCGACAGCUUAACUGUCGAACUGCCAUUGAUACUGCUAGUCUUGAGUGAGGUUGAAGUGGCUGGAAUAAGUAGUGUAGCGGUGAAAUGCAUAGAUAUUACUUAGAACACCAAUUGCGAAGGCAGGUCACUAAGUCUUAACUGACGCUGAUGGACGAAAGCGUGGGGAGUAAACAGGAUUAGAUACCCUGGUAGUC
rnacentral:rRNA from 1 species